GGACUGUAAGUCGCCAGCCCCUGAGAACCACUGCUUUUCUUCCUGAGCUCUUCCCACACGCCCACACUUCCUUCUUCCCUACGAUUGGCUGACUUCUCAUUUGCAUAGCUCUGUCCGUGUGCACGCAGGCCAUCCAGGCUUGCGCUCCUUUUUUAUUACAGCUUGCCCGAUAAUCCUUUUGUAUGAUCACACUGCAUUUGAUUUACUCAUCAAUUUAUCUAUAGGUACCUGACUUCUUCUUUCUCACUUCUGUAAAUACAGCAGGAUGAUAUUCCAUUGUAUGACUAUACCAUGCUCACACAUCCAUCCAUCAGUUAACGGGCACAGAGGCUGCUCCCACUCUCUGGCUACCAUGAAGAGCAGCUAUGAACAUGGAUACGUAAGCAUCUGUGUGAUGGGGUAUCCGUUGGGUAUAUGCCAAGGUUGGCAUAGCUGGGCCAUAUGGUAGACCUAUCAUUUCUAGGCUUUUGAGGAAUCCCCACACUGAUUUCCAUGUAGCUACACCAGUUUAUAGCCCCACCUGUGAAUAAGUACCCCCCUUCCCCCAAAUCUAUACCACCGUUUAUUGACUUUUUUGAAAAUUUUUGAGUUAUCUUUGACUGGGGUUAAAUGAAAUCUCAAAGUGGUAUUAUUUUCAUUUCCCCCCGAUGUGAUUGAUCUUGAAGAUUUUAAAAAUUAUUUCUCGGCAAUUUGUAUUUCUCCUUUUAAAAACCCUCUGCUUAGUUCCACAUUCCAGACUUAAAUUGCAUUGGGUUUUGGCUUUUUGUCUUGUUUUAGUUCUUUGUACAUUUUAGACAUUAACCCCCAGCCGGAUGUAUAGCCGGUAAAGUUUUUUUCUUAUAGGCUGUCUCGUCACUCAUAGAGUGGUGUGUUUUGCUAUAUAGACACUUUUUAGUUCCAUUGAUCCCUUUUUACCAAUUAUUGGUCCUAAUGUCUAUCCUACUGGGGUCCUGUUUGAAGUGGACACUUAAGGGCUCUUUGGCAAGUCAGUUGUGUUGGAAGGCGUUUUACUUGGGCAAACACGUGAAGGAGUGUUUUCCUGAAGUGGAAACCAGUGACAGGCUAAAGUAGACUCAUGAAGGGAUGUCUCACUAAAGCAGACACAGGUGAAAGGAUGCUCUGCUAAAGCAAGCACAUGAAAGGACACGUGAUGAAGGAUUCUUCGCUAAUGACGCGCACGUAUUGGUUCGCCUUACAUUGUAUAGUUGAGCUGCAUUUGUUUGGACUCCAUAACUUCUGGUGGCGUGCUGCAGUUUCUUGCUGCUUCCGUGGUCUUAGGUUGUUUGGCAGAGUGAUGUCAGCUGAGACAGACUCAUGUGCCGAGGAAAGACACAUGGAGGACCCGUGAUGAUUGCUUGGCUUGCUGGUAUAGCUAGCCGUGCAAUGCUUGUUGGUCUCUUGUCUUCACUGAUCUUUGCUUCCCUGAGAGAGGCACAGCUGAGAAUGUCUGGCAUUCCUCUGGGUCCUUCGUGCUAACUUGAGCAGAGGCUGAGGCCUGGCUGUCUCUGCUAGGUUGUCACUGCUGUUGCUAACUGGAUUCUGCUGAGCUGAACUGCUGGUGUUAUCAGUGAAGUGCUUGCAAAGGAUCGAGCUGCUGCCGCCAGAUGACCUGUGAAUUGAACUGCUGAUUUCCAGACAACACAGACUGGAGUUGCUUCAGAGAACCUUUCUAAACAGGUGAUGCUUACAGGACAUCCUCUCUACCGCAUUUGGUGAUUGUGGGUAAAUUGGGAUCAGGGAGAGCAGCAGCAGCAAGCACCUUGCAUCUUCUGAGUUGUCUUGUCUCUCUGGAGCGAGUAGAAGCUGUUAAAGCUCCCAGCCCUUGAGCACCAGUUGGCACUGUGGUUUCUUCAGUCAGAGGGCAGCAGGUAUGGGCUCUGCAGUGCUUCCUUGCUCGAAUCGCAGGUCACCUUUGGGUCCCAGAUC
ensembl:lncRNA